AUCCAGCUGACAAGUCCCAAAUAUGACGAAACGCGGUUCCUGGAU
rnacentral:hammerhead_ribozyme from 1 species